rnacentral:rRNA from 1 species
AUACGUAGGGUGCAAGCGUUAAUCGGAAUUACUGGGCGUAAAGCGUGCGCAGGCGGUUUUGUAAGACAGAGGUGAAAGCCCCGGGCUCAACCUGGGAACUGCCUUUGUGACUGCAAGGCUAGAGUACGGCAGAGGGGGAUGGAAUUCCGCGUGUAGCCGUGAAAUGCGUAGAUAUGCGGAGGAACACCGAUGGCGAAGGCAAUCCCCUGGGCCUGUACUGACGCUCAUGCACGAAAGCGUGGGGAGCAAACAGGAUUAGAUACCCUGGUAGUCCACGCCCUAAACGAUGUCAACUGGUUGUUGGGUCUUCAUUGACUCAGUAACGAAGCUAACGCGUGAAGUUGACCGCCUGGGGAGUACGGCCGCAAGGUUGAAACUCUCGAGCAAAC